rfam:Danio rerio chromosome 2, GRCz11 reference primary assembly.
AACGCUGUCAAUAAAUUUUUUUCGAAAGAAAAAAAAAUCUGUUCUUAUCAGUUUAAUAUCUGAUACGUGCCCUACCCGGGCACUAUAGAUUGAACUGGAUAAAUGGAUCCUGCGAGAGAAAAGACGCAAUGGCCGACCAUGCUGGUGCGGCUGAAAAAUA